rnacentral:rRNA from 1 species
AUUGAACGCUGGCGGCAGGCCUAACACAUGCAAGUCGAGCGAGCGGCGGACGGGUGAGUAAUGUAUGGGGACUGCCCGAUAGAGGGGGAUAACUACUGGAAACGGUGGCUAAUACCGCAUACUAUCGGAUAACCCAUAUGGGAUUAGCUAGUAGGUGGGGUAAAGGCUCACCUAGGCGACGAUCUCUAGCUGGUCUGAGAGGAUGAUCAGCCACGAGGAGAAUGAGGCACGGCCCAGACGCCUACGGAGGCAGCAGGGGGGAAUAUUGCACAAUGGGCGCAAUCCUAAUGCAGCCAUGCCGCGUGUAUGAAGAAGACCUUAGGGUGGUAAAGUACUUUCAGCGGGGAGGCGUUACCAGCAGAAGGAGCACCGGCUAACUCCGUGCCAGGAGCCGCGGUAAUUC